rnacentral:rRNA from 1 species
UACGUAGGGUGCUAGCGUUGUCCGGAUUUAUUGGGCGUAAAGGGCUCGUAGGCGGCGUGUCGCGUCGGGGAGUGAAAGCCCGCUGCUUAACGGCGGGUUGGCUUCCGGUACGGGCAUCGCUGGAGUGCGGCAGGGGAGACUGGAAUUCCUGGUGUAGCGGUGAAAUGCGCAGAUAUCAGGAGGAACACCGGUGGCGAAGGCGGGUCUCUGGGCCGUAACUGACGCUGGAGGAAGCGAAAGGCGUGGGGAGCAAACAGG